rnacentral:rRNA from 1 species
UAAAUAGGGAUUAUUAAUUUAAUUUUCUCGAAUUCAGAAGAGCUAAUUUCUUAUGUAUGUUAUUGUUGAAUAAAUAUUUAUGAUAAGCAAUUAGUAAUGAAAUGUUAUUCGUUUCUGAAGAUACCUAGUUUUUUAAGAAAUGAAUUCAAUUCAGUCAUUUUUAAUUAAUUUUCUUUGUUAAUAGAAAUUUAGUUUAAGUGGUAAAUAUUUAAGGGGAUGAGCUUUUAAAUAUAUUUUUAUAAGUAAAAUUUUUAUUAAGGUUAAUAGGAUUAGAAGUUUUCAGUUUUAGAAGAAUGUUAUAGUUAACGUUUAAUUUAUAUAUUAUUUUUAUUUAUUUUAAAUUUUUUAUUAAAAUGUUAUUUUUAAUUUGAUUUGGUUAGUAAUAAUGAUUUGAUUAGUAUAAUUAAUUGUAUUU